rnacentral:misc_RNA from 1 species
GAUGAAGAACGCAGCAAAAUGCGAUAAGUAGUGUGAAUUGCAGAAUUCAGUGAAUCAUCGAGUCUUUGAACGCACAUUGCGCCCCCUGGUAUUCCGGGGGGCAUGCCUGUCCGAGCGUCAUUGCCGCCCUCAAGCACGGCUUGUGUGUUGGGCCCCCGCCCCCCGGCUUCGGGGGGCGGGCCCGAAAGGCAGCGGCGGCACCGCGUCCGGUCCUCGAGCGUAUGGGGCUUCGUCACCCGCUCUGUAGGCCCGGCCGGCGCCCGCCGGCGACCCCAAUCAAUCUUUCCAGGUUGACCUCGGAUCAGGUAGGGAUACCCGCUGAACUUAAGCAUAUCAAUAAGCGGAGGA